CACUUUGGUCGACCUUAAUGGUAAACUUAAAUGGAAAGUUCAUCCAGAAAUUAAAAUUCUGUCAUAGUCUACUCACCCACACGUUGUCCCAAACCUGUAUUCGUUUAUUACAGCUGCUUCGCACAAAAUAUAUUUUUAAUAACGUGUGUAACCACAAAGUUGACGGUGGCCACUGGCUAGUAUGAGAGGAGAAAUACUCUUAAGUCAGUGGCUUAAAGAGCAUUUAAGUCAACUUUUCUCCAAAAUAUCUCAUGUGCUCUGCAGAAAUAAACUCAAACAACUUUGGAGCGACAGAAGAGUAAACGAUGACGGAAUUUUAAUUUCAGGGUGAACUAUCACUUUAAAUUCGUAAGACUGGCGAGCGAAUUAUUACCACACUAAACAUAAUGUCUCUUGAUGGGAUAAUUUAGGCCUUGAUGUCUUUGUAUUAUAAGACCGCGCAGGUAACAGGAAGAAAGUUUGACACGACAGACAACUGGAUAGACUGUACAAGUUUGGAUAUGUGUGCCCGAUCGUGCGCGAGACAGGGCGUUAAAUCUGAGAGAUAAGGAUCGAUGUGACCUUAAAAGCUUUUAACCUGCUCCGUGCCACUCGGUUACAGUAUGAGGUUUUGCAUAGCAACAAAGUGAGGGGGGAUCUCUACCCAUGAUUGGGCGCGUCUCAAUCAGCUCCCUUGUUCAGUAGUAAGGGCACUGAGCAGGCAGUCGGCCAUUUUAAGGGCUGUCUCAAUCGCGAAAUCCUUCCACUGCACUGGAACGUUCGCUCCCUGAAAAAAAAUCCCACAAUGCACCGCGAAAACUAGGGCGCAUCGGUGCACACUACGCUCCCUUACCGGAAAUAACGUCACAUUUCUUAAGCGUGAAACAUAAACCACACAAGCGAACGCGAUGAAUAUAAUAACACAUGAUAGAAGAUUUGAAAAAACUUACCGUUUUUUUUACGUUUCAACAUAAACACACAACGCUAAACCGGUAAUGAACACACAUAAUUAUCAUUUAUAAUUAGUACUCGGCUGUAAUGUUGUACGGAAAUGUAACAGAACGAUGUGAUUAACGAGAUUUAAAAAAUAAUAUGGAAACCGGAUUAAUAUAUUUCAGUGAUGACGUUCUACUAUCUUGUCUGUUGAAGCCGCGCGUAAUCACGUCACUGGAAUUCGAGUGGUCCGUGUCCCAAUGUGCGUUGAGUUAGGGAACUUAUCAGUGAGCGAACUCACGAGACCCACUGAUCCACGAGCGCGGGAGCCGAUUGAGACGCACCCUGGCCGACUACUUUCACAAACGAAAACACCUCUCUACCUCGCUUCGCAUGUUUUUUCGCCCUCGCGUCACGGAAAAGUUAAAAUGAACAUUUUGCAAGACGCCCGUUCGUUCCGUGCCACGCGUGACUUCGACGUUAACUUUUGUUUGUUGUUUUUGAAGUUCGCUAGUGUGGAAAUCUGCACAGCAACAAGCGCCAUGAUUGCGUUCUCUGAGUGCCCUAGUAACUGGCGCGCGCGGUUUCUAUCCAAUAAAAGAGCGCGUGAUGUGUUCGCAGUUAUGCGGUGGAACCGUUUUACCCAACGUCCCUACUUUUCAUAGGAUUAUUGCAGUAUUGUAAAACUAUAUAUAUGCGUAUUUAUUUUGACUGACAUCACCACAUUGUCUUUUGGGGUGACUAGUAAGCGGAUGUCGAGGUAAAUGGACCAAAAAGAAGCACAUUUCUAUUCUACAAGUGAUGGGUGGAUUUUUUCUGGAGAAGUACAAAGUGCUCAAAAUCUAUUUGCAUACUCUUAACUCUCUGGUCGGUUGUGGUGAUUUGGUACUUGUUCUGAGAAACACAUGAUAUUCACACUGCUCUUACAUCACCUGCCUGCCUCUCCCUCACUCACUAUUACGAGGUAAGUGUGCACCGUGAUUAAGUUCACUGCAUCCAGACCUUCAUUUAGACACAUCUGACAAAAGCAGAAAAACUUUUGACCGUUAUAAAAAAAAAAACAAGUGUAUUCUGAGUGCAUUCACGUUUUCUAAAGGAAUUGUAUUCGUCCAAAAUUAUCUUCAUAUUCAACGAGAUUUGCAAGUAGAUUCAUUUAGGUAAUUUAAAUCAGUCAAGACGUGAAUGUUUAAAGAACCAUAUGAGUAAGCUGAAACUGAAGCUUUCAUACGGGUGAGCCCCAAACUAUCUUUGAAAUCACAAGAAAUAAUUUACAUGACACAAAGUGCAAAAUAACUGGGCUAAUAAUAACAAUUUCACGCAUGACUAAUCUUCAGUAUUUAUCAUGUUUUAUUUCUGAUGUUGUUUUCGUAAACCCCCAGGUUUCUGUUCCAUUCAGUAAACGCACAUGUGCUAUUGUACCAGGUGAUCCAAUACUGACAAUAAACUUUUGGUGUAACACAAGCAAGAGGACAGUGAAGCAUCUGCUGUCUAUAAGUGUAAAAUUACAGGUUAUGAAAAGAGCCCCAUGGACUUCUGGGAGAGAAAAAAGUGCUGCCUGACAAAAGCCUGUAACCUCCCACAUUAUAAUAUUUACUUAUGUUGUUUGCUUUGUCUGUAUGACUUUAACUUUCUCGUUUUCUCUUUGUUAGGCACUUCAUGAGGAUAUAGAAGACAGACAAAAAAAAAGGUUCUAAUAUACUCCUGGUAUUUUAUGCAUUUCAGAAAAGAAUUCAGCUGAACCAUGCUUCUUGUAAUCAAUAUAGUUAAAAUGAUUCAACUAGUGGUGUACUUACAGUUACUGUGUCACAGCUCAGAGUCAUGCCGUGUGCUCGACAUUCCUUUCCUGGAGAAAACAAAAAUAAAGGAAUAUUUAUGAAGCACAAAA